rnacentral:rRNA from 1 species
GGCGGCGUGCUUAACACAUGCAAGUCGAACGAAAAUACCAAGCUUGCUUGGUUGAUUAGUGGCGAACGGGUGAGUAACACGUGAGUAACCUGCCCCUUACUUUCUGGAUAACUGCUCGAAAGGGUAGCUAAUACGGGAUAUUCUGACCGGCCUGCAUGGGUUGGUUUGGAAAGGUUUUUUUUCUGGUGAGGGAUGGGCUCGCGGCCUAUCAGCUUGUUGGUGGGGUGAUGGCCUACCAAGGCUUUGACGGGUAGCCGGCCUGAGAGGGUGGACGGUCACACUGGGACUGAGAUACGGCCCAGACUCCUACGGGAGGCAGCAGUGGGGAAUAUUGCACAAUGGGCGCAAGCCUGAUGCAGCGACGCCGCGUGAGGGAUGAAGGCCUUCGGGUUGUAAACCUCUUUCGUCAGGGAACAAGGCACUGCUUUUGGUGGUGUUGAGGGUACCUGGAUAAGAAGCGCCGGCUAACUACGUGCCAGCAGCCGCGG